rnacentral:rRNA from 1 species
GACGUAGGGCGCGAGCGUUGUCCGGAUUUAUUGGGCGUAAAGAGCUCGUAGGCGGCUUGUUGCGUCGACCGUGAAAACCCGCGGCUUAACUGUGGGCUUGCGGUCGAUACGGGCGGGCUGGAGUUCGGUAGGGGAGACUGGAAUUCCUGGUGUAGCGGUGAAAUGCGCAGAUAUCAGGAGGAACACCGAUGGCGAAGGCAGGUCUCUGGGCCGAUACUGACGCUGAGGAGCGAAAGCGUGGGGAGCGAACAGG